CCUACGGGGUGCAGCAGUGAGGAAUAUUGGUCAAUGGGCGGGAGCCUGAACCAGCCAAGUCGCGUGAGGGACGACGGUCCUAUGGAUUGUAAACCUCUUUUGUCGGGGAACAAAGGCGCCCACGGGUGGGCGGAUGAGUGUACCCGAAGAAAAAGCAUCGGCUAACUCCGUGCCAGCAGCCGCGGUAAUACGGAGGAUGCGAGCGUUAUCCGGAUUUAUUGGGUUUAAAGGGUGCGUAGGCGGACAGUCAAGUCAGCGGUAAAAAGGCGGUGCGAAACGCCGUACAGCGGUUGAAACUGGCAGUUUUGGGUGGGCGAGAAGUAUGCGGAAGGCGGGGGGUAGCGGUGACAUGCAUAGAUAUCACGCAGAA
rnacentral:rRNA from 1 species